AGAUGAAAUCUUCCUAUAUGUUAAUAAAGGAACGCUUUGAACAGUAGAAGGGUUUUUUGGUAAAUUACAUGCCCUCAAGACUGCCCUACACCUACUGUUGAAAGAGAUACGCCAACCAACAAUAUCACAGAACCCCCUAAUGCUUCGAUCACAUCAUAGAGAAACACAUGGAACCGGAAGAAAUCCGGCAAGUGUGAGAGAGGAAGAGUGAUGCAGCAGAGAUCCACAUGUGGAAACGACAGUGGUACCGGGGUUUCCGGUCACUGCAGUGGCGGUCAACAGUGGUGGCUAGGGUUUCGAUUGCGGUUUCAGGAGGGAUCAGCGGAACGUGAUAAUGAUGAAGAUGGCCGGCGAAAUACCUAGGGUUUCGACUAAGUUCCGGUAGAAGGAUUAAAGCUUGCAUGUUCCAUUUUCAAGUAGAUCGGUGACGGAUUCGUCUGCAUGUGUGCUUCUCCGAUUGGUAAGGUAUAACCCAUCUACCUCACUCCAUCAAUCUCAUCACAACAUCUCUACCUCUGUCCCCGACGACGUCUGGCGACCAAAGGUGAGGUUUAUUGUUGGGGUUUACAUCAUCCUAUAUGUUUGCCGUCUUUUCUUCGUUCUUUUGUUGUAGAUGACUGAAUUUAGAUGGCUUAGGACUGAACUGGAUAAAUAUAGAUAGGGUACGAAAUGAACAGUAAAUGAGAUGAGGGGUACUUUGGUAAUUUGGAUAUUAGAAUAAGGUGGAAGGUGAGAAACGUGAGAGAAAGAAGAGAUAGGGCGGUGCUGGGUUGUUCAAAAACACAGAUACAGGGAAAGAGAGAGAAACGAGAGAAAAACGUGAGAGAAAGAUGAGAGAGUGACGGUUGCCGGCCAUUUUCUCCGGCCGACCGUCUAGCAGAGAGAGAGAGCGCGCGCGUUAGAGAGAGAAGAGAAACGGUGGUGGUUUCCAGGCGUCUGAGAUGACGGCGGCGGGUCCUAGAGUCCCGAUCUGUCAAGUUAUCGCCAGUUGUGGCUUCUCCAAGGCGGUCAGUGGGUUAAUUGGGAUAAUCCGGUGGAGAUGCCGGCUGAGUCGGGCUCCUCAGCUCGCGGUUGUUAGAUCGGGCCAUAAGACUACGGGAUAGGGAAAUCUUUCGGCGGCGACCCGAUACAUGCGGCGGUUCAGUGAGAGAGUGACGGUGAGGGAGCUGGCCACCCACGGCGGCCACAUGCUAUUUCAAGUGCAUGUCAAUGAUGGGUGACAUUAAAUCAAAGGUACCUUGGUAUAAGAGAGGUAAAGUCAUGACUUGUGUUGCUUUAGGGAUCAUGUACUCUGCUCCCUUUUUUUAUUGAAUUGACGAGGUUGUCUAGAUCAAUUCUCGAUGAUGUUGAGGUUUUUGGGGAAAUUUCCGACGGUAGCAGUAGCUGCUAGCGAUGAAACGGUUCACCCGUCAAGAAGCAGCGAGGGUACUAAGGAAGAGGUGUGUCUGAACCACAUGUGUUGGGAUUGUUCGGAUCCAGAUAUUUUUUAUGUGUUUGGAGUAAUCGGUUUUCCUUUUGAUGAUUGAUUAAUUGAUGAUCAUUAUGCAUGUGUUCUGUAUUUUAGUUGAUUUAUUCAUGUUUUUUGGAGUUUCAGUUGGACUUUUGUGCCCCAGUUGUUGUGAAUCUACGGUUCAAUCCCUAAAGUUAAAUUAUUAGAAGUGUUGUGUGGUAGGCAAGCUUUGGAUUUUACAUUAGAUGAACAUCAACAUAGCCUAUCUGAACAGGCCAAACAAUGCAUCAAAGAAGGUAAUAUAAAUGUAUUCUUAAUUUUUCAAAGGAUCGACCAUAAUGACUAAGGGGCCGUCUAGGCUUGAGUUUGUGUUAGGUUGGUGAUUUCAGAGUGUGCGGAGCGCUACUAAAUAUGUUGGAAAAUCAAUGUAUAUUGAGAAAGCAAGGUUAUUGUCAUUGAACAAUGAUGCAAAGCGUAUGAGUCCUUAUAUUAAAAAACUUGGGCAAGCAUUGGCAACAAAAAUAAAAGCUUCAUUGGCAGAGGUAUGUAGUGCUCAACACGUGAAAUAAUGAUACCAAAGUUGAAGACGUGAACAUUUUCUGAGCCGAAGACCGCCAUAAAGAAUUUCGGUCAGUAAUCGUUAGCUAGAGAGGGUGGUUACCGGACUGUUUUUGUAGGCUGGUUAGAAAUUGUUACAUUUCCCCACUGAAGGCUGGUGAUGAGAUUGCAGUGGCCUUCAAGAAAACAAAUCCAGUGGGUAUAGGGUCUUAAUGAGUGGCAAGUUACUCUUUUAUUGGUGUAUGAGAAUUAUCAUUAAAUGAUUAUAUUUGUUUUUGAAGAUAAAUGUAUUAAAUUAGCAAACUCAGAUUGUUAUUUUUGGGAGUUUGGUGACAAUCACCAAAGCAUUCUGUUGGUAA